rnacentral:lncRNA from 1 species
AGUGGCAUCAUUGCACUGUGACUGUGCAGGUCCCAAACAGUAUGGACAUGAAUGUCCUCAAGCUGCAUGUUAGCAGGGCUUCUAAUUCCAUCUGCAAGUGAUAGUGUGUGGAGCUUAGUUGCACAGAGCGCAUGUUACUGGAGGAGAUAUGGGUCUGUGUCAUCCUGCAUGGGAAUGAUCCUAAAAACAAAGUGAUCAGUGACUGCUCAGGACUGUGGAAAGGUCACUUGGAGCAGUGGGAAAAGGUCUGGCAGAGGAAUAAGAAGAUACAGGUCUUAGAACAAGCCCUGGGACUUCAACCAAGUCAUUUAACAUCUGGGGCCUUCGUUUAUUUAUCCUCCCAGCAGAUAAAGCAAUACCUGCCCUGUCUUCCUAACCUUGGAGGGGUCAAAAAAGUGAUGGGUGUGAAAGCAUUUUGUAAACUGUAGUGCAAGCAUACGGCAGGGGAGUGAACCAUACUUUCACUAGCGACUUGAAUGAGGUGAUAAAGAAAAGGCUCAGAACUUCAGAAAAUGCAAGAGGGGCUUGACCCUGGAUUGGCAGAGGAAAGCAAUGGUGGGAUCGAUACCUUGGAGAGCCAAGGACCAAGGGGUUAAGGGUCCAUGAGGACAGGCCUGGAUCAUCAGGAAGCUGAGUGUGGAUUCCAAGAGUCUCAAGGUUAGAGAAGUCGCCUAGUCCACCUCCCCUCUCUGCUUCUCACAGAAGGGUCUGCUGAACACUCUGGUGACAGAGAACUCACCCAACAUGUUCCAUGGCAGAGGCUUUUCAUUAGAUCAAGGUGACAUCUGUUUUACUGGAGCUUCCAACCACGUGUCCCAAUACUGCCCUUAGUCACAGGCAUCCAGGUCCUCUCUCUCAGGACAGCACUUUGAAUAAAUGAGGACAGCUCCCAUCCCCCUUUCUCCCAGUUGACUUUCCAGAAACAUCUCAUAUUGUUGUUGGCUUUCCACCAUUUUUCCUCUUCACUUCCUGGGCCUACUACUACACUGUGUGUCCUCCACUUGGUCUCUUCCUGAAAGCAACACUGUGCACAAUGUUCCUGGGGGCAGACUUAUUAAACCAAGUGGACCACUUCCUUCAAAAAAA